rnacentral:rRNA from 1 species
GACGAACCGUGCGAACGUUGUUCGGAUUCACUGGGCUUAAAGGGCGCGUAGGCGGGCCGGCAAGUCCGGGGUGAAAUCCUUCGGCUCAACCGAAGAACAGCCCCUGGAUACUGCCGGCCUCGAGGGAGGUAGGGGUCGACGGAACUUCGGGUGGAGCGGUGAAAUGCGUAGAUAUCCGAAGGAACGCCGGUGGCGAAAGCGGUCGACUGGACCUCUGCUGACGCUGAGGCGCGAAAGCCAGGGGAGCGAACGGG